rnacentral:rRNA from 1 species
UACGUAGGGGGCAAGCGUUGUCCGGAAUCAUUGGGCGUAAAGCGCGUGUAGGCGGUCCGGUAAGUCGGCUGUGAAAGUCCAGGGCUCAACCCUGGGAUGCCGGUCGAUACUGCCGGGCUAGAGUCCGGAAGAGGCGAGUGGAAUUCCCGGUGUAGCGGUGAAAUGCGCAGAUAUCGGGAGGAACACCAAUGGCGAAGGCAGCUCGCUGGGACGGUACUGACGCUGAGACGCGAAAGCGUGGGGAGCAAACAGG